rnacentral:rRNA from 1 species
GACGAACGCUGGCGGCGUGCCUAAUACAUGCAAGUAGAACGCUGAAGGAGGAGCUUGCUCUUCUGGAUGAGUUGCGAACGGGUGAGUAACGCGUAGGUAACCUGCCUGGUAGCGGGGGAUAACUAUUGGAAACGAUAGCUAAUACCGCAUAACAGUAGAUGUUGCAUGACAUUUGCUUAAAAGGUGCAAUUGCACCACUACCAGAUGGACCUGCGUUGUAUUAGCUAGUUGGUGGGGUAACGGCUCACCAAGGCGACGAUACAUAGCCGACCUGAGAGGGUGAUCGGCCACACUGGGACUGAGACACGGCCCAGACUCCUACGCGAGGCAGCAGUAGGGAAUCUUCGGCAAUGGACGGAAGUCUGACCGAGCAACGCCGCGUGAGUGAAGAAGGUUUUCGGAUCGUAAAGCUCUGUUGUAAGAGAAGAGCGAGUGUGAGAGUGGAAAGUUCACACUGUGACGGUAUCUUACCAGAAAGGGACGGCUAACUACGUG